rnacentral:rRNA from 1 species
GACGAACGCUGGCGGCGUGCUUAACACAUGCAAGUCGAACGGAAAGGCCCUGCUUUUGUGGGGUGCUCGAGUGGCGAACGGGUGAGUAACACGUGAGUAACCUGCCCUUGACUUUGGGAUAACUUCAGGAAACUGGGGCUAAUACCGGAUAGGAGCUCCUGCGGCAUGGGGGGGGUUGGAAAGUUUCGGCGGUUGGGGAUGGACUCGCGGCUUAUCAGCUUGUUGGUGGGGUAGUGGCUUGCCAAGGCUUUGACGGGUAGCCGGCCUGAGAGGGUGACCGGCCACAUUGGGACUGCGAUACGGCCCAGACUCCUACGGGAGGCAGCAGUGGGGAAUAUUGCACAAUGGGCGGAAGCCUGAUGCAGCAACGCCGCGUGCGGGAUGACGGCCUUCGGGUUGUAAACCGCUUUCGCCUGUGACGAAGCGUGAGUGACGGUAAUGGGUAAAGAAGCACCGGCUAACUACGUG